CAAAGGAUAUUCCAUACCUUAUGACAUCACGUGGAAGGAGUUCUGAAGGAGGUGGGAGAGCAUCUCACUCUCUUCUGCUGCUUGGGGAUCUAGCUGGGAUUUGGUUGGGGGUUGGCGGGCAAUUGCUUGUGCAUCACUCAUUAUAUAUUUUUAUAUAUAUUUGCCAUAAUAAUUAUCAUUUUCCUUUAUCUUAGUAUACAGUUUUAUCUCGAUCCAUGAAUUCUACUUUGUGGGUUUUUUUUCGAUUCUCUCCUCCAUCCCACUGGGAAGGCAGGGAGUGAAUGAACACAGUGUGGUGCUCAGCCACCUGCUGGGUUAAAUCCCAACAAACACUGGUGGGGAAAUUCCUGCAGUUUGCAAAAUCUUCCGUUUUCAGUAAAUUGAUCAUUUCCUUUAUAUACACAGAAACAUCUGUCGAAGAUUAUUUACUCUGUGUUUCAUUAACACAGAAAGAAGAAAACAGCAAGAAAUCCACCAUCUAUACAAGUCUGCAGAUUAAUAAGUUUGAAAGCUUCAUCUUGCUUUCACAUUCUGUUUGUUUCACAAUGACUGAAUUACAGAUGGUUUUUGUUAGCAAGUUCAGAUCUCUGUAGUUAGGAUCCGAAAGACUGAACUGGAAUAAUGAAUUCACUUCAUUUCAUACAAGUGCACAUAUCAUCUUUAUAUAGGUAACAGCAGAGCAAAGUAAAGCAUAGAAAAAAACUGUAAUGGUGCUCAAAUGACGUGUUGAAUAGCAAAAAUACACUUCAGAAAAUAUGUUUUUAUAUUGCAAAGAAUUAAACUAUUGGAAAAAGACACGCAGUCUGGAUAUGAAAGUGCCAUUUCCUAAAGCUAUUUCUUCAGGGCCUAUAAACUAUGGGCAAUGCUAUGUCAAACUGUGGUGUAAUUUUUAUAUCCUACAACAGUAUUUUAGGACUGUGUAUGAGAAAUAACACCUGAUUGCUGACACUGCUGCCCAAAACCACCAUUUCACUUGCCGUGGGUCUUCCUGAAUUUGUUUUGGCACUGGUCUUUAUGACACAAAGCAGUCUUUUUAUGUCUUUAAUAUGUAGAUGGGUAGCCUGAGAAGACACUUAUUGCUUCUAUCCUGCUUUGCAAUCCAAAUGCACUGCUACCUUUGCAUGUUUCAGAAGUCGUUUAAAUUCGUUUCGCAGGCAGGUGAAAGACUUCAGAGGCAUUUUAUAAUGCAGAUUCUCCUUAGGGCCACAUUCCAGCUGUGUUUGAAGGUGUGGAAAGUCACUGCUGUUCCAACAGCUUCUGCUAGCUGGCAGGGUGGAAAAAAAGCAGACUCAGCAGGGAAGUUCUGAAUGCUCAGGAGAAAGAGCUAAUUUAACUGCAGGAAACUCUCAGAAGAAAAUCCUUGAGAUCAAACUCCUAAUCAAGUUCAAUACAUACAAAUGUGAAGAGAACAAAAACCUAUCAGUCAAACACACUGUAUAGCACUGCUGAAUGGGAAUUGUUUGAUGAUUUUUUUAAGGAAUAUUCCAGUCUGUUCAAAAAAUAAACUGCAACUAUAGAUUUCUCAAAGAAAUUUAUGCAUGUGCACAUUACCUAGGCAAAUGUUCUCACAGCUUGAAAUAUGCUGUGGAAGCACUCAUGUGCCUCUUUCUGGCUGCUGCAGCCCGUGGGCCUGCUGUGUUAUGGUGAGAUGGUGCUGAUAAUGGUUUUUGCUGAGGAAUGCUACCCACAUCUGCGUUGCCCAUCUCUGCUGCUUUCUUUGCCUGGGGCAGUGAUGUCACUGUGUUUGGGGUGGAGGUCAGUAUUACUCAACAAAGAUGGUUUGCUCCUGGCCAGGAUCACAGGUGAUACAUUCUACUCCAUGGUAUUCUCAGUAAUUAUUGCAUGGUUGGCAAUAAUUAUUUAGAAAGAUUUUUUAGAAAUCUUUCUAAAUUUUAGAAAGAUGAGAAUAGAGAAUAUUAAUUUGGAUUUUGCACAACUUCCACAUAAGUGAUUUUCAGGUGGGUUGUAUUUUCAUAAAAGGGGAAACAUUCUGGCCUGCAAGAUGUGUGUUGGCACCAAAAAGUAAAGUCUGGCAAGUGAUAGUGAAAAGUGGGAUUUACUGUGAUCCAGUGAUGUGUGUAUCCCAAAUGGCAAGGAUCUGGGAGCAUAGGGAAGACUAUAAAGUGCUCUUUGCACUCUUAAUUCUUUUCAAUUGAAAGGAUCCAUAGGGGCUUAUUUCAUUUUCUCUGCAAGGGUAAUGAGGAUGUCUGCUUCUCUUUCUUUCCACAUAUGCUUAGAGCCAGUCUGUAUGCAAAGGAUGACUUCCUGCAUGCUCAUGCUAAUGUGCAGGCCAGUGGGUUUAUUCUUGCUAAAGACACAAUCCCAAACAUCCAUUAUACUGGGGAGUGUUGGCACACUGACAUCAAUUCUCAUAGGUGCAUGAGAGCUAUGUGCACUGCCGUGAAUUUCAGCAGUGAGAAUGUGGGACUGGAUGCACUUCAGAAGGAUGUUGUGCUGAUGCUAUUGGUGUAAGCUGCAGCUGAGUUUCCCAACCCUUUUUGCAGUUGGGAUGGAAAGGGAAGGAUGUCAAUGUCUACUAUUCCUUAUUAAAAGUGCAGCUUUCAGUAAGUACACAGGGUACAUGGGAAUAUAUAUUUCUUGACAUAAAACCAUUUCAUUUAGAUUGCUUUUAGCUUCCACAUCUGAGGAUAUAACUUGAAAGUGGCUUGGCAUAGAAUGACAUAAAAGACAAUGAGACAUGAAAGGCAAUCAGGGUUUAUCAUUGGAUCUAUUUACUCAUACGUUUAUGAAGGAUGUGUCAUGUAGCACAGAAAACAGUAAAAGAUAGUACACUAAGAAAUCAGUAUGCGUGAUGUUUGAAAGGUUUUAAUAUUGUAACAAAAAUCUUGAUACUAAAAUCAACUCCAAAACAAAGUUGUUUUUCUGCUGAGGGAGAAAUGUGUCCAUUGAUGAAGUUCCACAUGACAAGCGUAAAUGAAGGUCUGCAGCUCAAAACGGCUCUAACCCAUGGCUCCCUGCCACCCCACUGUUGUGGGAAGCCCUCAAUCUACAAGGCUAUGCGAGUGUCAUCACAGUGAGGAGUUUAAUGACAUAGUGGGAGGUUGUUUCAGUACCUCCAUAUGGCUGGCAACAUGCUCUGCAUCAGCAUCUACCAGAAAUGCUCCAGCGCUCCUGCCUGAAUCUCUGUGAGAACAAUCAGAGGGCACUGUGCUGCUCAGUUGGGCAAUCCCUAACCUAGCAACCUCAGUCUCUGCUCCCCAGUGGGUAAUUCCCCCUGCUGCCUUGUUUGGCACACAACAUGCAUGCAG